AUGAACGCUGGCGGCGUGCCUAAUACAUGCAAGUCGAGCGAACAGACGAGGAGCUUGCUCCUCUGACGUUAGCGGCGGCCGGGUGAGUAACACGUGGAUAACCUACCUAUAAGACUGGGAUAACUUCGGGAAACCGGAGCUAAUACCGGAUAAUAUAUUGAACCGCAUGGUUCAAUAGUGAAAGACGGUUUUGCUGUCACUUAUAGAUGGAUCCGCGCCGCAUUAGCUAGUUGGUAAGGUAACGGCUUACCAAGGCAACGAUGCGUAGCCGACCUGAGAGGGUGAUCGGCCGCACUGGAACUGAGACGCGGUCCAGACUCCUACGGGAGGCAGCAGUAGGGAAUCUUCCGCAAAGGGCGAAAGCCUGACGGAGCAACGCCGCGUGAGUGAUGAAGGUCUUCGGAUCGUAAAACUCUGUUAUUAGGGAAGAACAAAUGUGUAAGUAACUAUGCACGUCUUGACGGUACCUAAUCAGAAAGCCACGGCUAACUACGUG
rnacentral:rRNA from 1 species